rnacentral:rRNA from 1 species
UACGAAGGGGGCUAGCGUUGUUCGGAAUUACUGGGCGUAAAGCGCGCGCAGGCGGUCUUCCAAGUCAGUGGUGAAAGCCCGGAGCUCAACUCCGGAACUGCCAUUGAAACUGUAAGACUUGAGGAUGAGAGAGGUGAGUGGAAUUCCCAGUGUAGAGGUGAAAUGCGUAGAGAUCCGGAGGAACCCCAGAGGCGAAGGCGGCCCCCUGGCUCGUACCUGACGCUCAGCCACGAAAGCAUGGGGAGCGAACGGG